CCUACGGGUGGCAGCAGUGAGGAAUAUUGGUCAAUGGACGAGAGUCUGAACCAGCCAAGUAGCGUGAAGGAUGACUGCCCUAUGGGUUGUAAACUUCUUUUAUAUGGGAAUAAAAUGUUCCACGUGUGGGAUUUUGUAUGUACCAUAUGAAUAAGGAUCGGCUAAAGCCGUGCCAGCAGCCGCGGUAAUACGGAGGAUCCGAGCGUUAGCCGGAUUUAUUGGGUUUAAAGGGAGCGUAGGUGGAUUUUUAAGUCAGUUGUGAAAGUUUGCUGCUCAACCGUAAAAUUGCAGUUGAAACUGGCAGUCUGGAGUACAGUAGAGUUGAGCGGAAUUCGUGGUGUAGCGGUGAAAUGCGUAGAUAUCACGAAGAACUCCGAUUGCGAAGGCAGCUCACUGGACUGCAACUGACACUGAGGCUCGAAAGUGUGGGUAUCAAACAGGAUUAGAUACCCGAGUAGUC
rnacentral:rRNA from 1 species